AUGAGGAACAUCGUGAAGCUUGAUGAUGUUCUCCCAGAAGGCGCGAGCAACUUGGACGGCAGUGAAGGGAUGACGAAGCGGCAUGAAGUGGGCGUACUUGGUAAGCCGGUCGACGACAACCAUGAUUGCAUCGGAGGCCUCAGAUUUCGGCAGCCCCUCCACGAAAUCCAUGGUCAGCUCCUGCCAUGGUUCCGUGGGGAUUGGAAGGGGUUGGAGCUUGCCGGCAGGGUGCGUGUGCUCGUGCUUGGCGUGUUGGCACACGGCGCACUGCCGGACAAAAUCUUCCACGACACGCUUCAGCCCGGGCCAGGCGAACAGCUUGCGGACGCGGUGGUAGGUGGCCGUGGCACCGGAGUGACCACCCACGGCACUGUGAUGGAGGGCGACGAUGAGCUUGGUCUGCAACAUGGAGUUGGCGCCAAUCCAGAGUCGGCCGCGCUGCCUGAUGACGUCGUUUUGUAA
rnacentral:rRNA from 1 species